ensembl:snRNA U6 U6 spliceosomal RNA
UUACUUUAGCAGCACAUGUACUAAAAUUGGAACAAUACAGAGAUGAGCAUUGCCCCUGCGCAAGGAUGACACACUAAUUUGUGAAACGUUCUAUAAAACA